UACGUAGGGUGCGAGCGUUAAUCGGAAUUACUGGGCGUAAAGCGUGCGCAGGCGGUUAUUUAAGUCAGGUGUGAAAGCCCUGGGCUUAACCUAGGAAUUGCGCUUGAGACUGGAUAGCUUGGAGUGCGGCAGAGGGAGGUGGAAUUCCACGUGUAGCAGUGAAAUGCGUAGAGAUGUGGAGGAACACCGAUGGCGAAGGCAGCCUCCUGGGCCAGCACUGACGCUCAUGCACGAAAGCGUGGGGGGCAAACAGG
rnacentral:rRNA from 1 species